rnacentral:rRNA from 1 species
GUGGGGUGAUGGCCUACCAAGGCGACGACGGGUAGCCGGCCUGAGAGGGCGACCGGCCACACUGGGACUGAGACACGGCCCAGACUCCUACGGGAGGCAGCAGUGGGGAAUAUUGCACAAUGGGCGGAAGCCUGAUGCAGCGACGCCGCGUGAGGGAUGACGGCCUUCGGGUUGUAAACCUCUUUCAGCAGGGAAGAAGCGCAAGUGACGGUACCUGCAGAAGAAGCACCGGCUAACUACGUGCCAGCAGCCGCGGUAAUACGUAGGGUGCGAGCGUUGUCCGGAAUUAUUGGGCGUAAAGAGCUCGUAGGCGGCUUGUCACGUCGGAUGUGAAAGCCCGGGGCUUAACCCCGGGUCUGCAUUCGAUACGGGCAGGCUAGAGUUCGGUAGGGGAGAUCGGAAUUCCUGGUGUAGCGGUGAAAUGCGCAGAUAUCAGGAGGAACACCGGUGGCGAAGGCGGAUCUCUGGGCCGAUACUGACGCUGAGGAGCGAAAGCGUGGGGAGCGAACAGGAUUAGAUACCCUGGUAGUCCACGCCGUAAACGUUGGGAACUAGGUGUGGGUGACAUUCCACGUCGUCCGUGCCGCAGCUAACGCAUUAAGUU